rnacentral:sRNA from 1 species
CUGCGCCGACCGGACGGCCGGACUCCAGCGCCUUGGCCCGGCCCGCGAACGCUGAGCACGCGCGGAAACCCUUUAAAGAUAGGAAGUGAAAUCAAAUGGAUGUUGGAGGUGGAAUGAAGUUUUCCAUAUUCCUGACCUUUGGAGAAAGUUUGAAUUUGAACUGAACCAGUCAGCUACUUCAUCUUUUAAGUCCACUCAUCCUGAUCUCAUUCAGCAGAUCAUUAAAAAGCAUUCUGCUCAUCUUCAGUAUGUCAGCUUUAAGGUUGACAGUAGCGCUGAGUCAGCAGAAGCUGCCUGUGAUAUACUCUCUCAGCUGGUAAAUUGUUCCAUCCAGACCUUGGGCUUGAUUUCAACAGCCAAGCCAAGUUUCAUGAAUGUGUCGGAGUCUCAUUUUGUGUCAGCACUUAACAGUUGUUUUUAUCAACUCAAAAUCAUUAUCAUCAAUCAAAAUUGAAGAUACGCCAGUGGAUGAUCCUUCAUUGAAGAUUCUUGUGGCCAAUAAUAGUGACACUCUAAGACUCCUAAAGAUGAGUAGCUGUCCUCAUGUUUCAUCUGAUGAUGGGUUACAUUUUUUAAAGCUAGAAUGAUAUGAUAUUUUUAUUACAAUAACUAUAAAGAUGCAAUUUCCUUUUGAAAAUUAUAUGCCUAUGAAGCAUAAAUUAUUUAAGUAAGUUUUUUCAAAAGAUUUCUUAAUCUGCAAGGUAGGUAUAGUUAUAGUAAGUUUCUCCUGAGAUAUUUUAAUUUUACAUAUAUACAUAUGCUUUUCAUUAUAU